rnacentral:rRNA from 1 species
UACGUAGGGGGCAAGCGUUGUCCGGAAUCAUUGGGCGUAAAGAGCGUGUAGGCGGCCCGGUAAGUCCGCCGUGAAAGUCCAGGGCUCAACCCUGGAAUGCCGGUGGAUACUGUCGGGCUAGAGUCCGGAAGGGGCGAGUGGAAUUCCUGGUGUAGCGGUGAAAUGCGCAGAUAUCAGGAGGAACACCGGUGGCGAAGGCGGAUCUCUGGGCCUUACCUGACGCUGAGGCGCGAAAGCUAGGGGAGCGAACAGG